rnacentral:lncRNA from 1 species
GGGAGCUGUCUCUGAGAACCUGCGGGAGAGCGCCCGGGCUUGCUGCUUCCCGGACCCGCGCGUCUCUCGAGCACCCUCGUCCCACCACCUUGUGAGGCCGUAGUGUUAUUUUUAUUUUUUAGAUCAGCAGACUGAGACUCGAGGUGACGUCACUCCGCAGAGAGGUUAGCUGCCUUGAAGAAAACGGAUAUCUCCUCUUUCCGUUUCGCCCGUAUAAACAGCCGAACUGCCUAUUAUAAAAGCAUGGACUGCCAGCAUUGGCGUGGUCGUUAGAGGCCUAUUAUGAAAUCAUAGAAUGUCUGCAUUGGAAUCGCCUCACCUCCUUUUACCGCUGGAGAAGCCGACGGACAGACGGGCAGCGACCCCCGCCGUCGCACAACCCGUCUAGGCAGAGAGCGCGGGAGACGGGAGGGCGGCAGGGACACAUCUCCCAGCCAAGGACCUCCUGGGCCCGCAGAGGCCGCGACAGGUUCCCCCCACAGAGGGAACCAACUCUGCCGCAGGUUGAUGUGGACUUCAAGCCUGCAGAACGGAGAGCCCAUUUCCAUUGCUUAAAGCCACCUCGUGUGUGGUAUUGGUUAUGGCCCCUGUACACUCCCUUCCCUCCCUCUCCCAAGUCCAGUCCGCAGCUCGCUCAUCACCAGGCUCUUUUCCAUGACUCUUUCUUGAUCAGGCCUUUUUAUCGUCCUCACCACAGGUUAGAGCACAGCAGACUGAGCCACCCAGAACUGGCCCCUCCGGUGGACCAGCCCCUGCGGAUUCACAGACCACUGGGCCUGGAAGGGACCUUGUCAAGCAGGCCCAUAAGGUAAUCCCUCCCCGGAAAGAGAAGAUCACAGAUUUUGUCGUAUUAAAUACAUUGUAGAAAUUCAUGGUAGCAGGGGCAAGAUCAUUUAAACAAAACAGAAAGUUUCAGAGAGAGAAAAAGCCAAGGGCAAAGAUUAAUCAUUUUUCUGCUUAAAAAAAAUGGCUUUGAUUUGCAACCAUGGAAUGCUCCACUGUUUCUCUUCUCUUCAAAGACAUCUACUGGAAGGAUUCCUUAACCUUACCAAGUGGCCAAAAUACUUUUCUGAGAAGAGUCACAGAGCAUAGGCCCCCCUAGGGUACACAGAGAUUUCAUUAGUCCCUAGAUGUUUCCUGAUCCUUUUAAAAACUGGUUAAAUUCAGAGACUCUAGGCAAUUACUUCUUUCAGAACCUGUGAGGCAAAAACGAAAGAAGAAGGCAGGACACGCAGUGUAACAAACCUUGGAAUGGCCGAGUUAGUGUUCACCUUCACCGAGAUCCUAAGGAGCUGUUUGCAUUCCUCUAUCUCAUCGUAUCAUCAUUGUCUAAGUGUCCGUCCCUCUGCUGUGGCCUCUUUGGGAGCAGGACUUCGCCAGACUUCAUCAGAAGAAAGCAGUGCGAGAGGGGACUGCAGAGGAAAGCUGGGGCUUGGGAAACCAGCAGCAGGGGCCACGUGGGCAGGUGGUUUCUGUGUGAACCUCUGAUCUGUGCAACAUAAACAGGAAAUGUUGAAGGCUUCCAGUGCUCUUUUUUGAUGUCGAGAACAUUCUACGGUACAAAAGAGUUUGCCUCUCACUGUUUCUCAUAUAUGGAGGUUUUCUAAUCAGCAUCCUGAACAGAAUUGAAUUAAAAAUAAAACCAA